rnacentral:rRNA from 1 species
GUGGGCGACCUACCUUCGAGUGGGGGAUAACCUUCCGAAAGGAGGGCUAAUACCGCAUGACAUCCCGUGUUUGGAUACACGGACAUCAAAGCCGGGGAUCGUAAGACCUGGCGCUUGAAGAGGGGCCCGUGUCCGAUCAGCUAGUUGGUGGGGUAACGGCUCACCAAGGCUCCGAUCGGUAUCCGGCCUGAGAGGGCGGACGGACACACUGGAACUGAGACACGGUCCAGACACCUACGGGUGGCAGCAGUCGAGAAUUUUUCACAAUGGGCGCAAGCCUGAUGGAGCGACGCCGCGUGGGGGAUGAAUGGCUUCGGCCCGUAAACCCCUGUCAUUUGCGAUCAACCGUUAUUGUUUAAGAGAUGAUAACCUGAUAGUAGCGAAAGAGGAAGGGACGGCUAACUCUGUGCCAGCAGCCGCGGUGAUACAGAGGUCCCAAGCGUUGUUCGGAUUCACUGGGCGUAAAGGGUGCGUAGGUGGCGAGGUAAGUCGGAUGUGAAAGCUCGGAGCUCAACUCCGAAAUGGCAUUGGAAACUACCUUGCUCGAGGAUUGGAGGGGGGACUGGAAUA